rnacentral:rRNA from 1 species
CCUACGGGGGGCAGCAGUGGGGAAUAUUGCGCAAUGGGGGCAACCCUGACGCAGCAACGCCGCGUGAUUGAAGAAGUCCUUCGGGAUGUAAAGAUCUAUAAGCAGGGACGAAGAAAUGACGGUACCUGCAGAAUAAGCUCCGGCUAACUACGUGCAGGCAGCCGCGGUAAAACGUAGGGAGCAAGCGGUAUCCGGAUUUACUGGGUGUAAAGGGCGUGUAGGCGGGCCUGUAAGUCAGAAGUGAAAUCUGGGGGCUUAACCCCCAAACUGCUUUGGAAACUGCGGGUCUUGAGUGAUGGAGAGGCAGGCGGAAUUCCCAGUGUAGCGGUGAAAUGCGUAGAUAUUGGGAGGAACACCAGUGGCGAAGGCGGCCUGCUGGACAUUAACUGACGCUGAGGCGCGAAAGCGUGGGGAGCAAACAAGAUUAGAUACCCGGGUAGUC